AAAGAAUAUGAAAUAUUCCCUCUUUUAAAGAUCUUUAAAAGGGGGAAUAUUCCAUAUUCCCCCUUUUAAAGAUCUUUAAAAGGGGGAAUAUGAU